rnacentral:rRNA from 1 species
UACAGAGGGUGCAAGCGUUAAUCGGAAUUACUGGGCGUAAAGCGUGCGUAGACGGUUGCGUAAGUCAGAUGUGAAAGCCCCGGGCUCAACCUGGGAAUUGCAUUUGAGACUGCGUAGCUAGGGUGCGGAAGAGGGAAGCGGAAUUUCCGGUGUAGCGGUGAAAUGCGUAGAUAUCGGAAGGAACGCCAGUGGCGAAAGCGGCUUCCUGGUCCAGCACCGACGUUCAGGCACGAAAGCGUGGGGAGCAAACAGG